AGUGAACGCUGGCGGUAUGCCUAACACAUGCAAGUCGAACGGCAGCACAGUAAGAGCUUGCUCUUACGGGUGGCGAGUGGCGGACGGGUGAGGAAUACAUCGGAAUCUACUUUUUCGUGGGGGAUAACGUAGGGAAACUUACGCUAAUACCGCAUACGACCUACGGGUUAAAGCAGUGGAUCUUCGCACCUUGCGCGAUUCAAUGAGCCGAUGUCGGAUUAGCUAGUUGGCGGGGUAAAGGCCCACCAAGGCGACGAUCCGUAGCUGGUCUGAGAGGAUGAUCAGCCACACUGGAACUGAGACACGGUCCAGACUCCUACGGGAGGCAGCAGUGGGGAAUAUUGGACAAUGGGCGCAAGCCUGAUCCAGCCAUACCGCGUGGGUGAAGAAGGCCUUCGGGUUGUAAAGCCCUUUUGUUGGGAAAGAAAAGCAGCAGGUUAAUACCCCGCUGUUCUGACGGUACCCAAAGAAUAAGCACCGGCUAACUUCGUG
rnacentral:rRNA from 1 species